rnacentral:rRNA from 1 species
UUGGAGGGCAAGUCUGGUGCCAGCAGCCGCGGUAAUUCCAGCUCCAAUAGCGUAUAUUAAAGUUGUUGCAGUUAAAAAGCUCGUAGUUGAAUUUCGGGGUCAGUAGGUCGGUCGUGCCACUGGUAUGAACUGGUUUUACUGAUUCCUCCUUCCUGAUGAGCUGUAAUGCCAUUAAUUUGGUGUUGCGGGGAAUCUGGACUGUUACUUUGAAAAAAUUAGAGUGUUUAAAGCAGGCUAACGCCUGAAUACAUUAGCAUGGAAUAAUGAAAUAGGACGUUCGAUCCUAUUUUGUUGGUUUCUAGGAUUGACGUAAUGAUUAAUAGGGAUAGUUGGGGCAUUAGUAUUCAAUUGUCAGAGGUGAAAUUCUUGGAUUUAUUGAAGACUAACUACUGCGAAAGCAUUUGCCAAGGAUGUUUUCAUUAAUCAAGAACGAAAGUUAGGGGAUCGAAGACGAUCAGAUACCGUCGUAGUCUUAACCAUAAACUAUGCCGACUAGGGAUCGGAUGAUGUUAAUUUUUAAUG